rnacentral:tRNA from 7 species
GGGGCUAUAGCUCAGCUGGGAGAGCGCUUGAAUGGCAUUCAAGAGGUCAGGGGUUCGAAUCCCCUUAGCUCCACCA